UAAUUCAAUUUAGGUAAGUUCAAAACAUGAAACUUCAUAGCUUUUACCUAUAGAGUUUGCAGUAGAUACACACAACAUAGAAAAUGGCAUAAAAUAAAUUAAAAUAACAUAAUAUACAAAAUUAUAUAUACAAUAUGAUCACAAUUUCCUACAAGGCAUACUACGAAUUGAAAUCUUUCUACACCCAUACAGCUUAUCGUCUAUAUUAACGUGGCUUUACAAUUCCAGAAAGCUCUUGCCCA
rnacentral:lncRNA from 1 species